rnacentral:rRNA from 1 species
AACGCGAAGAACCUUACCUGGGCUCGAAGCGCAGUGGACCGGGGUAGAAAUAUCUCCGUCUCGCAAGAGACCGCUCUAUAGGUGCUGCAUGGCUGUCGUCAGCUCGUGUCGUGAGAUGUUGGGUUAAGUCCCGCAACGAGCGCAACCCUUAUUGCCAGUUGCCACCGGGUCAAGCCGAGCACUCUGGCGAAACCGCCCUAGAUAAUGGGGAGGAAGGUGGGGAUGACGUCAAGUCCUCAUGGCCUUUAUGUCCAGGGCUACACACGUGCUACAAUGGUCGGUACAAACCGUCGCAAACCCGCGAGGGGGAGCUAAUCGGAAAAAGCCGGCCUCAGUUCGGAUUGGAGUCUGCAACCCGACUCCAUGAAGCUGGAAUCGCUAGUAAUCGCGGAUCAGAACGCCGCGGUGAAUACGUUCCCGGGCCUUGUACACACCGCUAGUC